rnacentral:lncRNA from 1 species
AAACAGUUGUACAAUGGAAGUUCUCAAAAGUAUUCCUAAUUUAAAGGAAUUAGGAAUUCAAGUGGAGUUGAAGCCUUAUGAUGACGACGAUGAUGAUGAAAGAAACCCAUCGAGUUGCUUGGGUUAUAUCUCCCAACUCCAGAAUCUGGAGAGACUUGAAUAUUGGGUUAGCAAUCCUGAGAUAAAGUAUGAGUGUAAUACGAUUUCUCUUUCAAUGUUUCCCCCAAGUCUGAAGGUGUUAACGUUGUCUGGGUUAGGGGGUAGUCCUUGGAAUUACAUGAAUGACAUUGGUUUGCUGCUGCCAAAUCUCGAGAUUCUCAUAUUAGACCACUAUGCAUUUCGAGGCCCAGAGUGGGACAUAACAUCGGGGAGUUUUUUGAAACUUAUUGAACUUGUAAUUGAAGACACCGAUUUGGUGCGAUGNNNNNNNNNNNNNNNNNNNNNNNNNNNNNNNNNNNNNNNNNNNNNNNNNNNNNNNNNNNNNNNNNNNNNNNNNNNNNNNNNNNNNNNNNNNNNNNNNNNNNNNNNNNNNNNNNNNNNNNNNNNNNNNNNNNNNNNNNNNNNNNNNNNNNNNNNNNNNNNNNNNNNNNNNNNNNNNNNNNNNNNNNNNNNNNNNNNNNNNNNNNNNNNNNNNNNNNNNNNNNNNNNNNNNNNNNNNNNNNNNNNGUGUUUGAGAUUGUCCAUCUAUCGAUUUUCAGGCAAAUGAAACAGACGAUCGAGAGUUGCUUCCUCUGCCGCAGGUGAGUUUCUGCUGUCUGUAGAUUACUAGUAACUUGUUCAACAAAUGUCGAGGCCUUUGAAUUACGAGCUGCUGUUUUUGAAGAUCUCUUCGCAGGAGUUCACUUGUUCAAGGCGCCAUAAGGUAACUUCUUUAUAAUGCAUAACCAAUAAAUGAAUCGAUUAACUUGAAAGUAUUGGGCUCGUUAGCUUGCAACACGUUCGUGUACAGCAUUGUGAGCAUCAUAUAUUGCUACUCGUUGACCUCUUUGCAUUAUAGGUAUGAAUCGCCUUAUUGGUGAGGAAUUGCAGGUAGACGGAUCCAACUCGCGUGGAGAUGCAGAAAGAAGCAAACGAAUCGAGCUGAGUCAAGCCGAGUAGAUUCCUCAAGCUCACCGUCGUCUCAGACUAGAAGCAGACGCAGAUAAGACUUGUUGGAGUAACGGAUUCUAGCCAACUGAGGUUCGAUAGCGUGUUCGUGCUCGUACGUAAGAUGAGGUUCCUCUCUUCCACUCUGCCGAAGCCAUUGUGUAGAUGUUGCUAACUCAUAUCAAGUGCUCUUGAUUUUAGAUCGAGUUAUAGAAUUAAUCAAGAUUUGAUGUUAAUUUUAUUAGUAACCGUAGGGGUUGUUGGUUUAGCUAUGAAGUAAACUUUUUUUUUGAUAAAUUACAGCAUUAAAUAAAGAAAUUUAAAGACCGCGUCACAUGAGACUCGAACUCAAGACUAAUUGGGCUUCUCUAUAUAAUAAAUAAGUUUCCGGCCCAAUACAAAAUAUAAGCCCAGCUCCAUCGUUUAUCUUUUAAAUUCUGCCUAACUAUAAUCCAUUUUUAUUCCUUGAAUUGAUAACAAAGAAGCAAUUAAAACACCAAUUUACUCAAAUUAAGCUCAACAAUUCAACAUCAAAAUCCAGAUUUUGAGUUGGGCUGAAUUCCCCAUGGCAUAAUUUUCUUCUAUUCGGACUUGGGCCCAAUAUGUAUAUAAUACACAAAAAAGUAACCUUAAAAUAAAAUAUGUACGUAAUAGGAGUAAAACUAACAGAAAACAUUAUAUGUGAUGCUGAGGCAAUUAAGAAAAAUAAAGUGUGUGCAUUUUAAUUUCCACAUCAAAUACAUAUCUUAAGUUUGUGAAAUGCUAUUGUGUUUUAAGACUGAGGAAAAUAAUUAAAUUAUACUUCCUCCGUCCUCAAAUUAUAACUUCAUAGAAGGAAGGAACACGAGUUUUAAGACGAAAAAGUAAAAAGAUGAAAAGUAAGGAUAAAUGGGGUAUUGAGAGUGGUGAAAAGAUGAAAAAUAAGGGUAAAUGAGGAAUUAAUUGUGGUGGAGUAGUGCCCAAAUAUAGAAAGAUUUUUUUUUUGAACGGACCGAAAAUAAAAGUUAGAAAGUUAUUUGCGGACGGAGGAGUAUGUAUGUUUAGAAUAUCUAGCAAAACCAAUAAAAGAUCACCAUGAACUAUAAUCUUUUUAUCCCUCAAUCCAUCUCACAUUUGAAUUUUCCUGUAUAUAAAUUCAUUAGAAUUUAUAUAUACACUAAUAUAAAAAAAAUGUGUUGGGCACAAACUAUAGAUUGUCUAUUAUAUUCAUAUUACAUACUCCCUUCGUCCCCUAAAUAACUUCUUAGUAGGGGACGACACGAGUUUUAAAGAAAAAUUGUUAAGUGUAUUGAUAAAAAAAAAACUUUUAUAAUUAAUAUUGAAAGUGGUGAAAAUGUGUUAUAAUUAAUAUUGAGAAUGAUGGAAGGUUGAAAAGUAAUAAUAAAUAAAGUAUAUUAGUGGUAGGGUAAUGUCCCAAAAUGAAUAUGAAGUUAUUUGGGGGACUGAAGGAGUAUUUAAUUUUAAGAGUAAUUAUAUAAAGUAUAUAUUAUAUAUCUAGAAGAAUAUAUUAAUUCAUUAGACAUUAAAGUACUACAAAAAUAUGUCAAUUAAUUAUAUUACCUUAUCAUAAAUCUAUUUGAUGAAUCUGAAAAUCUUUUUAGAAUCCUGAAAAAAUAUCCUAUGAAAUCUAACUAUUAACUAAAUAAAUGAAAAUUCAAUAUUAUAUAAAUAAAUAGGUUACAUAUAAAGUGUACUCCCUCCGUCCCACGAAUCUUGAUACGCUUGGUUUCAGCACGGGAAUUAAGAAGUUGUAGAUUAGUAUUUUAAGUGUGUAGUUAAUGAAGUAUAAAAGUGAUAAAGUAGGAGAGAAAAUGUAAUAUAAGUGAUAAAGUUAAUCGAUAGCGUGUUCGUGCUCGUAAAAUGAGUUUCUCUCUUCCACUCUGCAGAAGCCAUUGUGUAGAUGUUGCUAACUCAUAUAUAUAAAGUGCUCUUGAUUUUAGAUCGAGUUGUAGAAAUCAAGAUUUGAUGUUAAUUUCAUUGCACUUAAAUAUUUGUUUUUCUAACUAGUGGUAAUAAUAUGUGUUCUAUUUUAAGUCACAGGCUGUUCCCUCAAAGUUGAGAGUUUGCAUUAUUUUUAUCAAGCAGUUUGAUCGAUUUUGAAUUAUUUAGAUUAUCACAAGGAUUUGCAUAGGUCUGCCUUGCAAUAUUACUUAAUGUUUCUGUUAUAGUCACAGUGUUUGAGAUUGUCCAUCUACCGAUUUUCAGGCAAGUGAGACGUCGCGUUAUCCCAUGAUUUCGAUUGGAUUGUGAAACUUGAGUGCUGAAUUGUGUUUGUAAUCAAAAUUGUUGUAAGUUGGAUUUGUGUGAAAACAUUAAUCGCUUAUUCAGUUCAAGGAUUGUAAUAUUUGUGAGUUAAGCAUAGUUUUAACUUUGUUUUCAUAUUGUGUGUAAUCAGUUUAUGUGUUUUUGGCUUAAAAAUAUAUAGCUUAAAAUUUUAACAUUAUGGCAAUAUACUAAUUAAUUUCUGGCUUCAUUUUUCAAAUUCAUGAGAUCCCUCAGUAGAAGCUCAUCAAUGUGAACAUUUGCUGAGAUGAAGUAUUUGGAUGAACUUUUUCCAAUAGGGCGUGUUUGAUAUUGGCUAAUACACUGUAUUAGCUAAUUUAGUACAGAUCAGUCUAGUGUUUGGUAUUAUUUAGUAAUAAUGUGGAUGACCCGGUUUAAUCCCACGACCCAGUAUUAUUAAUCCAGAUUUCUUAGGAUUAAUUAUACCACCUCUCCCCUAGGAUUAACUUAAACCAAGAUAUUCUGUAUUUAGCCAUGAUAGCAAACACCAACUCAAUAUUAAUAAUCUGUCAUUAUCCACGCUAAAUAUCCUAAUUACAAAUUAUCCAACAUAAUCCUUUACUGAAAACCAAAGAACCCAUGCUGUUGCCGUCUUCUUUUUCUUAUUUUAUCAGUGAUGACUACAGAAAAGCCAUGAUUUGGUGGGAGUUUGUAUGAACAAAAUUAUUGUGGUAAUUAAGUUUGUUCUUCUCCGUUGUAAAUAAAUAACUGCAGGAGUUGUGAGGUUAAAAAUGUUGUUGAUUUAACUAUGAAGAAAAGAAAAGAAUUGAUUAAUUAUCAUUCAUAAAAUUUCUAAAGGCCCAACUGGGCUUCUUCACAUAAUAAACAAAAUUUCGGCCCAAUACAAAAUCAAGGCCCAACUCCAUCGUUUAUCUUUUAAAUUCGGCCUCACUAUUAAAUUAAAAGGCAUCAAAUUCAACUCAAUUUCGUUAGAAGACAUUUCAAAAUCCAUGGCACUUUGGGGUAUGAAAGAAAAUUACUAUCACUUUCAAUUUGGAUUUAAAUGAUUGAAAUAAGAGAAGACUAAAUAAUUCAUAAAUUUCGACCCCUUUUGGAUUUUAUUAUUUUUAAUAAGUUAUUUUUUCAUAAUUAAAUUAAGUUUCACAAUUCUUUACUUCUUUAAUUAGUUUAAUUGCCACAUAACUAAUUAUGAUCUUUCGAGCCUUGAAAAAAAAAAAAAAAAAAAACCCAAGUUAAAAAAUGUGUUGCAAAUAGGGCUGUAUACGAACCGAGCCGAGCCGAAUACCUCCAGGCUCGGGCUCGGUUCGUUAAGAUUUGGUUCGGCUCGAGCUCGAAUUCGAGCCUAAAAAUGAGCUCGAGCUCGGCUCGCUCAUAUAAUACCAAGCUCGAGUUUGGUUCGAAUUCGGCUCGUUAAUUAUUCGUUUAUCUCGAGCUCGAGCUCGGCUCGUUAAUUAUUCGUUUAUCUCGAGCUCGGCUCGAAUUUAAAGCUCGAUUUCAAAUUCAAACUCGAAUUCGAGCUCGGUUCGAAUUAUUUAUAUAUUAAGGUUUCAUUAAAAUAAAAAAAUUAUAUUUGUUCAUAUAUUACUAGACUAUUUAUGAAUCAUAAUUUAUAAUUUAUUUUUAACAAAUAGAUAAUUUAUCAAGUUAGUAGUAAUUUUUUUUUUUAAUUAUGAGUGUUAUUUUUAUUAUUUAAAAAAUAUUUAACAAAUAAAAUAUAUAUAAUUAUUAUUUAAUGAACCUAUUCGCGAGCCUAUUCGCGAACAUAUUCGUGAACCUAUUCGUGAGCCUUUUCGCAAACAUAUUCGCAGCCUAUUCGCGAAUGGCUCGCGAAUAGGUUCGAGCCGAACAUGUUCACGAGCUCACGAGCCGAACAUGCACAGGCUCGAGUUCGGCUCGAUAAUUUUAUCGAGCUCGGAUUCGGGCUCGAGUUCGGCUCGUUUAGAAAAUGAACGAAUUUCGAACGAGCUUUUUUCGAGCCGAGCCCCGAAUAGUUCACGAGCGGCUUGGUUCGUUUACACCCCUAGUUGCAAACACUACGAAUAAUUUUCCAACAUGAGGUAGGUGUAUUAAUUUAAAUAUGAUCACAAAAAUAUGAUCACAUUAAAAUAUGAUCUCAUAAUUAUAUAUAGGAUACUUUAUUAUUAGCUUUAUUGGCGUGCGUUUUCUUUUACGAAAAGUAGAGGAAGCCAUGUGUUUUCACACUUCUUUCAUAAUUUUCAAGUGGUUGAUUGCUCAUUCUUCAUAAUUACAAUCUUCGGUUGCUUUGUUUCUUGCUACAAUUCUUCCACACAAUUGCAUUCAAAAUCAUCAAUAGAUCGAUUUUACCAUUACAUUAUACACAUCUCUUCAAAUCAUUUACUAAAUUCUUGAAUGUGGUAUUGAAUGUUUCUGAAAUUGUAUCAAAACCAGCUGCCGCCGCCGAGAGGUAAGCAGAGAGCUGAGAUCUAUCAUUUGUUUCAUCUGCGUUUGCUUAUUAUAAUUCCUUCUUCUUCUUCUCCGUUUCUUUGUUAGGCGACUGAAUUUUAUUCUGGGCUAAUUGCAGUUUAGUUUAAGCUUCAUUUUGGAGGAAAAUUGCAGAGCUAAGCAAUUUCAUUUCAACAAUAUAUCGUAUCUCAGCUGAUAAUUUGGGUAUGGCGGCUUUUGGUGCGGCGGCUUCUCUCAAGAAUACGAUUCUGCGUAUUCUACAAUCGUCUCGCAUUUCUCUCGUUUCCCACUCUCCACUAAUUGGACGAGACCAGCAGCAGCAAGAUCAGGACAGAGGUGAAUGCUUUGGAUGAACUCAUAAAAGAGGCAGUUUGGGAAUUCGAAGAUUUACUCGAAUCCCAUAUCUUACCUCAGAUUCUUCCACAACUCCAAAGCGAGAGACACAACUUGUCAUUCUCUGUAGAUCUGCAAAGUUUGCAACACCAUGUUGAUUGCUUCGUCGAGAUGGUGAAGAUGAUGGAGGAAGAGUACACUAAUGAAAUGGAGAAUAUGGCUGAAGAAGAAGGCGAGCCUAUUUCCUCAAGAAUCGAUUUUGGUGGAAUCAACUCAAAGAUGGUUGGAAAAUCUUAUGCAUUUCAAGACGCCAGAGAUAAUCUUCUUGAAGAUAAACACUAUUCGAUUAUUGGGAUGGCGGGCGUUGGAAAGACAAAUCUUGCUAAACAUCUUUUUGAAGAUCCAUCAAUUCGGAGCCAUUUUGAGUUUCGAGCAUGGGUCAAAGUGGGCAGAAAAUGCGAGCCCAAUGAACUAUUACGCUGCGUUCUAGCUCAAGUGGAUCCCAACGCUUACCGAAUGCUUGCCCAAGGAGAUGAUGAUGAUGAGGAAUUAGUUGGACUAUUGAAAGAAAAAUUGCAGGAUAAGAAAUGUCUCAUCGUGUUGGAUGAUGUUUGGGAGACACAAGCAAUAAGUCGCAUGAUAAAUUGCUUGAAAGAAGGGAAUAUUCGUGGAGGGAUUGGAUACUUGCUUACAAGUAGACAACAAAUAACACUCCCGCAGCUUACGGGCAUAAGACUGAACUUGUUGAAUGAAGAAGAAAGUAAGAAAUUACUUGGUGAGAAGGUGUUUGGUGAGAAGGUGUUAGUGAAGACGGUUUCCCUCCCAACUUGAGAAUGGAGAGAAGAUUGCAGAAAUGUGAAGGCUUCCUCUUAUGAUAGUCACGUUGCAGAGCUCCUAUCAAAAGCCGACAAGACCCAGAAUAUGGACUGAGGUAGCCUGCAAACAACAAUCACUUUCGGGAGCAUAUAAUCAAAUAUCAGAGGUCUUUUCCCAAGUAUGACUAUUACCCCAACAUUUAAAAAUGUUUCCUCUAUAUGGGACUUUCCCUCCAUAUAUAUCAUACCACAUACACUUAUGUUGGUGCUGAGGCUUCUUAAUGAAUGUUGAAAAAGUUUGAGGUUUUGGGAAAAGCUUUCUAGGUAUCAUCUUGUUCUCGACACAAAAAUUGUGGUUGAAUAAGAGUAUCGCGUGCAUUCUGUUGGCAGCACUUUGUAAGGUAGAAGCUAGAGAUCAAGUUUCUACAUGUCUUACGAGGUUGUGAGAUGUAAAAAGACCAGCGCGCUUGUGUGCCCAUUACAACAGUUUAUUUGCUUCAAACAAGUGUAUGAUUCGAUAAAAAGUGAUUGUGCAUCCACUGCCCGUUCUCUCCUUUGUUUGGUCCUUAUCACCAUAUCCAAUCCCAAUACAUGCCAUGGGUUUCAAGUUGCUCAGGGUACUAUAUGCUCUUAGAGUUCGAUUUUACCAUAUCCCAAUUGAAAUUUUGAAACUUGUUUGUCUGCGGUACCUUGCCCUAAAUUGCAACGGGGAGCUCCCUCCUUCCAUAUCCAACCUUUUUCACCUUCAAUUCUUGAUUAUCGAUCCACAUAUGUACAUUAAAAAGCGUGGAGUUCAGUCUUAUAUGCCUGUGCAAAUUUGGGACAUGCAAGAACUAGAGCAUAUUCAGAUUUGGGGAAGGACCUACCAACCCCUAAUACUGAUGAUGCUACCUUGAACAAACUCAUCUCACUUGUUGGUGUGAGUGCAAACAGUUGUACAAGGGAAGUUCUCAAAAGAAUUCCUAAUUUAAAGGAAUUAAAUUGAAGUGGAGUUGAAGCCUUAUGAUGAUGAUGAUGAUGAAAGAAACCCAUUGAGUUGCUUGGGUUAUAUCUCCCAACUCCAGAAUUUGGAGAGACUUGAAUAUUGGGUUAACAAUCCCGAGAUAAAGUAUGAGUGUAAUACGAUUCCUCUUUCAAUGU